GGCGAGGCGGGGUGGGCCGGGGCAGGACGUGUCGAGGCGUGGUGGGGUGAGUGGGGGUGAGGUGGGGCGAGGCAAGGCAUGGCAGUCGAGGCGGGGUAGGGUGGUUCGAGGGGAAGUGAGGCGGGGUGAGACGAAGCAAUUCAGGGCGGGGCGAGACGGGGUGAGGUUGGGCAAGGCGGGACCAGGCGGGGCGAGGUGGGGCGAGACGGGGCGAGGCUACAUGGGGUGAAGCGCGGCGGGGCGAGGCAAGUGGGGGCAAGGCUAGGUGGGGCGAGUGGUGGCGAGGCGGGGCGAGACGAGGCGUGGCAGGCCGGGUAGGGCAGGGCGCUGUGAGGGGAAGCGAGGCGAGGCAAGGUGGGGCAAGGUGAAACCAGUUGGGGCGAGGCGAGGCGUGGCAGGCGAGGCAAGGCGAGGCGGGGCAAGACGGGGCGAUGUUGGACGAGGUGGGACAGGGUGGGGCGAGGCGGGGCGAGGCUAGGCGUGGCGGGGUGAGGCGAGGCAAGGCGAGGCGAGGCGAGUUGUGGCAAGCAAAGCGGGGUGGGGCGAAGGGAAGCGAGGUGGGGCGAGGUGAGGCGAGGUGGG
ensembl:lncRNA